AGGACGAACGCUGGCGGCGUGCCUAACACAUGCAAGUGGAGCGACGACCCGGGCUUCGGCCCGGUGCAAAGCCGCGAACGGGUGAGUAACACGUGGGUAACCUGCCCUGAUGAUUGGGACAACCCGAGGAAACUCGGGCUAAUACCGAAUGUGCCUUCUGGCCGUAAGGCCUCUGGGGAAAGGAAGCUUCGGCCUCCGCAUUGGGAUGGGCCCGCGGCCCAUUAGCUUGUUGGUGAGGUAACGGCUCACCAAGGCAACGAUGGGUAGCUGGUCUGAGAGGACGAUCAGCCACACUGGGACUGAGACACGGCCCAGACUCCUACGGGAGGCAGCAGUGGGGAAUCUUGCGCAAUGCGCGAAAGCGUGACGCAGCAACGCCGCGUGGGGGAAGAAGGCCUUCGGGUUGUAAACCCUUUCAGUUGGACGAAGCUUCGGCGGUGAUAGCCGCCUGGAGUGACGGUACCUUCAGAAGAAGCCCCGGCUAACUACGUGCCAGCAGCCGC
rnacentral:rRNA from 1 species